rnacentral:rRNA from 1 species
ACACUACUCAUAACAAUGUCGAUUUCGUUCUCGCAAGAGCUGCUCAUCCCCACCGUACUCGUGCUUCUUGUUUCCCUGUCCUUGUACUUCAGGUCUAGUAAUAGAUCAAAGAAUCCAUCGGUGCUCCCAAUCGACUGGCCAAUAGUGCACAUGUUGCCGGCAUUCAUUGCCAACCUCCAUAACUUGUGUGACUAUUGUGCUGCGAGCCUCGCCGAAUCAGGCCACAACUUCAGGAUACAUCUUCCCCAAGCGCACAUGUUCCUCACUUGCGACCCUGUGAACAUCCGGCACAUCUUCACGACGAACCACACAAACUUCCCAAAGGGUGUGGAGUUCGCAGCCAUCUUCGACAUCAUGGCUGGAAGCUUCUUCACCAUUGAUGGUGAGCCGUAUCACCGGCAGCGCGUGAAAUUUCAUAGCGUGCUCGGCAACCCACGGUUGGUUGCCAGUAUGGUAGCUUGCUGCCGCGACAAGAUGGAGAAUGGCCUCCUCCCAUUGUUCACCCAAAUGGCGAGCACCGGCACUCCAUUCGACAUGCAAGAAGUGGUUUCGAGGUUUAUGUUUGACCUGGCUGCCACAUCACUCUUUGGUGUGGACACUAGCCUCUUAUCCUUGGACAUGCCUCCCAUGGACGUUGCGAUUGCGAUGGACACGGUAAUGGAGGUAGCCCUUUUCCGGCACAUCCUGCCGGCCUCUUGCUGGAAGGCUAUGAGGUGGCUAAACAUCGGCCCAGAGAGAAAGCUCGAUGCGGCACACACGGUGCUACGAGGGUUUGUCACAGAUAUGAUCAAGAAGAAGAUUAACAGAGGCUGUAUUGGUAAUGAAGAGGAGCAAGAAAGUGCAGAUAUUCUAUCUUCCUACAUCAACGAUCCAGACUAUGCCGAUGUUGAAUUGCUCCAUGCGAUGCUCCUCGCUUUUAUGCUCGCUGGGAAGGACACAAUUGGCGUGACCUUGAUAUGGACCUUCUACAAGCUCGCCCAGAAUCCUAAGAUUGUGUCAAUCAUCCGCAGUGAACUCUCACCCAUUGCAUUACACAAAAUAGACACGGGUACGGGCGCCAUGGUAAUCUUUGACCCAGAGGAGACAAAAUCCAUUGUCUACUUGAGAGCUGUCUUGUAUGAGACUCUCAGAUUGUACCCACCGGCCCCUUUCGAGCGCAAGACAAUGGUUGCUGAUAAUAUCAUGCCGAGUGGUCAUGAGGUGCACGCCGGCGAAACCAUCCUUAUUUCACUCCACUCCAUGGGGAGGAUGGAGGACAUAUGGGGCAAGGAUUGUCACGACUACAACCCGCAUAGGUGGCUCUUGGAGGGUAGCAACAAGUUGAGGUAUGAACCAUCUCACAAGUUUUUGUCCUUCAACUCGGGUCCAAGGAUUUGCCCUGGGAAGGAAAUCGCUGUUAUCCAAAUGAGAACCAUCGUUGCCACGGUGGUAUGGAACUUUGACUUGGAGGUGGUGAAAGGACAGAGUAUCGAGCCGAAGUUGUCUUGUACACUACAGAUGAAAAAUGGGCUCAUAGUGAAGCUGAAGAAGCGUGAAAUACGUGAAAUAUAA